CCUACGGGGGGCAGCAGUAGGGAAUUUUGCGCAAUGGGCGAAAGCCUGACGCAGCGACGCCGCGUGAGGGAUGAAGGUCUUCGUGAUCGUAAACCUCUGUCAGGAAGGAUUAAAGUACGGGUGUUAAUACCACCCAGUAUUUGACCUAACUUCCAGAGGAAGCCCCGGCUAACUACGUGCCAGCAGCCGCGGU
rnacentral:rRNA from 1 species